rnacentral:rRNA from 1 species
UACACACCGCCCGUCACACCAUGGGAGUGGGUUGCUCCAGAAGGCGUUAGUCUAACCGCAAGGAGGACGACGCCCGCGGAGUGGUUCAUGACUGGGGUG